UACGGAGGAUCCGAGCGUUAUCCGGAUUUAUUGGGUUUAAAGGGAGCGUAGGCGGGUUGUUAAGUCAGUUGUGAAAGUUUGCGGCUCAACCGUAAAAUUGCAGUUGAUACUGGCAUCCUUGAGUACAGUAGAGGUAGGCGGAAUUCGUGGUGUAGCGGUGAAAUGCUUAGAUAUCACGAAGAACUCCGAUUGCGAAGGCAGCCUGCUGGACUGUAACUGACGCUGAUGCUCGAAAGUGUGGGUAUCAAACAGG
rnacentral:ncRNA from 2 species